rnacentral:lncRNA from 1 species
UAGUGUGUUCCACAAAAAUCAGAAAGACAGGAAAUGGAAAGCAGCGAAUCCCUCUAAUCCUGAAAUUCCCUCAAUUUUCUAUCUAAUGACCCUACGGAUUCUGCUCUAAACCUAAUUUGGUUUCCUUUUCCUUUUAUCUUCUUGCAGAGGUAAUCUUUUACUUUAGACCUAAAAAUUUCAUUUAUCAUCCCGUUUUCUUAGACAUGUAUGUAUUAUGAUUGUAUUUAUCUGUAUGUGACAUGUAUGUAUAAUCAAUUAUGUUUGGUUUAAUAUAAUUGGGUUCUUUUACGAUUUUACAGUUUUGAUCGAGGAUUAAUUGAAAAAAUGAAUCCAAUUUACCUUUUUCCUAGAGGGUCUGCUUUUUUUUUUUUUCUUUUUUUUUUUUGUGUGUGUUUUUGAGGAAAUUGUUUUACCCAGAAUUUGUAUAUUAAAUUUAAUGUUUUUCUGGUUAUUAUAAAGUGUAAAUGUUUUAGUGUUCUUUAUUUUUAAUAAAUUUAGGCUUGAGACUUAGAAUUGAACUAUUUGGUUCAGACCUUAGAUAGAUUAUUGUAGAAUGAGAUUUGAAACUUUCAAAAUG